rnacentral:lncRNA from 1 species
AGCAUGGAAGCUCUGGCGCCCCUUCCCCCAUACCUUGCCCUGUGUAUCGUCUCUUUAUCUGUAUCCUUUGUAAUAUCCUUUUAAUAAACUGGUAAAUGUGUUUCCCUGAGUUCUGUGAGGUGCUUCAGUAAACCAAUCAAACCCAAAGAGGAGGUCUUGGGAACCCCAACUCAAAGCUGGUCAGUCAAAAGUUCUGGAGGGCCGGACUUGUGACUGGUAUCUAAGGAGGGAAGCAUGAUUCUUGGGUUGUGGGCCCCAAAGUGGCAGGCUCUGACACCAUCUUCAGGUAGACAGUGUCAGAAUUCAAUUGGAGGACACCCAGUUGGUAUCUGCUGCAGAAGUGAUUGCUUGCUUUGUGGUGGAAAGGAAUCCUCAGGAAAUGCAGAAGUCUUCUGUGUUGAUUGUUGUGGUGUGAGAACAGAGGAAAACCGGUUUGAGAGUUUUUCCCGAACAGUAACUAUAAUGUAUUGAGAAAAUGGGACACCACUGGGAGUGAACAGAGGUGCUGUGAAUAUUCAUGCUGGGAUAACAGGGCUCUCUUGGCUGAACCAGGAAGUAUAGUCCCCUUAUUCUGUGGGAAAUGCUAUUUUCUAUUAUUAUCACUUAAAAUGGAAAAAGUCUAAAUCUGUAUUAUCAAGAGCUUAUUUUAAAAUUUCAAAAGUUUUCAGUUGAUGAAGGGUUGAGGAGAAAAGUCAAUAGUAGAGUUAUGGAGAAAAAAUUCUGGAAAAUAUACAUGUCAGAAUUCAAACCAAAUUCCGGAGCCCUGAGGUCCACAUCCUUCUGCAUUGUCUAUGAAUCAUUACUGAAAAGCUGUGUUCUGUAGGGGAAGAUAGCUCAACCAGCUUAGAGCUGUUGAUUCUGCAGUCAACUUCUGAUUCCUUCCGUGGGUCUUACACUCGAAUUUUCCAGCAGAGAGAUUAAUUGACCAGUGACUAUCAAGAGGAGGCUGACUCUUUUGAGCUGCCACCCCAUGCCAUUGGCAUGGCUGGCAUCCACUUCUGGCCUGACCAGCAGGGGCCACAAUGUGUGCUGGGUGACAGAAGACCCCUCAGGAGCCCCCAGCUCUACCCCAGCCUCCACCACUCUCCACCACUUAUUAGGUGGGUGGACCAGGACAGUCAUUUAACCUCUCUGAGCUUCAUCUCCUCAUCUUCAAAGUAUGAUAAUGAAUACUAAUUAUGUCACCAAGUGGCUGCAAGUUUUAAAUAUAAUGCUGAA